rnacentral:rRNA from 1 species
AUUGAACGCUGGCGGCAUGCUUUACACAUGCAAGUCGAACGGUAACAGGGAGCUUGCUCCGCUGACGAGUGGCGAACGGGUGAGUAAUAUAUCGGAACGUACCCAGAAGUGGGGGAUAACGUAGCGAAAGUUACGCUAAUACCGCAUACGAUCAACGGAUGAAAGUAGGGGACCUUCGGGCCUUAUGCUUUUGGAGCGGCCGAUAUCUGAUUAGCUAGUUGGUGAGGGAAAGGCUCACCAAGGCGACGAUCAGUAGCUGGUCUGAGAGGACGACCAGCCACACUGGAACUGAGACACGGUCCAGACUCCUACGGGAGGCAGCAGUGGGGAAUUUUGGACAAUGGGCGCAAGCCUGAUCCAGCAAUGCCGCGUGAGUGAAGAAGGCCUUCGGGUUGUAAAGCUCUUUUGUCAGGGAAGAAACGGGAGUGGCUAAUAUCCAUUCUUAAUGACGGUACCUGAAGAAUAAGCACCGGCUAACUACGUGCCAGCCGCCGCGGUAA